CUCGUGUUCAGCAAAUUGCUGUGACCAAGACCCUAUCCAGUUACCUGCCGCAUCAGAGGUAUGUUCUGUGGCGGUGCCAAGCAAAGCAGAGAAUAAUACCUCUAAGAAUUUUAACCAUUAGAUAGAAAAAGUGCAGCCUUGGCCAACUCUGGCGGGCGCUGCCGCACAGGAACCAGAUACAAAGCAAACAAGAAGGGCCUGUCCCGCGUGUGGGCCGAGGCCUUUCCUGGAGGGUCGGCUGCCCUGGUGCCACCGUCACAGUCACAUUGUCAGAGUCAUCGGGUUGCUGGCUGGCUGGAGGCAGGUGGCGCUGGGGUUUCCAGGCCCUGCGAUGGCCCCGCCCCGCCAAUUCCAUCCGUUGCCUUGGUGACUUGUGGGCUUUGAGGAAGCGACAACCUUGCCGAGCCUCACUGGGGAAGGAAAUUCUAAGACACUCCAGUAAUUAAUAAUGAUGUCAACAGCCCAUCCAACUUGCUCUGAAAUAUAGUGUCUAGGAAUAUCGCACUGGCCCUUCAUCCAAAGUCUAAUUGUCUGAAAGAACUGCAUCCAAGAUGCUGUGAUUCCAUGAGAUGAAACACAACAAGUGCGAGGCUGCUCGGGAAGCAAGUGUUCAAGGUAGGUUUGGUGCUGGUGGUGGUGGGGUGCCAGCGAGAUGGACCAUGCAGCGGGCUCGCACUUGACUUCAUCUGUAUUUCCAUAGGGCUUUAAGGACCAAGUCACAGUAAUGAUGUCAACCUCGAACAAUUUCUUGAGCGCUUACUGUCAGCCACUUGUCUAAGCAUUCCCUGCGAGUCA
rnacentral:lncRNA from 12 species